UGAAAAGUCAAAGACCUGUAGACCUGCAGGAAGCUGCUUGGUUUUGCUUGCCCUCCGCAGAGUGCACCCGGGAUCCCAGAAAGCAUUACCGUUUUCAGGCCCCCUAUAAAUGAACCCAUAAGAGUAGAGGAAAAGUUCUCCCCAACUCUGCAUACCUGGGACUGAAAAAUGAAAGCUGGCUCUGUAGGAACCACUAUGCAACUACCAAAUACUACUACCUCCAGGAGAAGG